rnacentral:rRNA from 1 species
UACGAAGGGGGCUAGCGUUGCUCGGAAUCACUGGGCGUAAAGCGCACGUAGGCGGAUUGUUAAGUCAGGGGUGAAAUCCUGGAGCUCAACUCCAGAACUGCCUUUGAUACUGGCGAUCUCGAGUCCGGGAGAGGUGAGUGGAACUGCGAGUGUAGAGGUGAAAUUCGUAGAUAUUCGCAAGAACACCAGUGGCGAAGGCGGCUCACUGGCCCGGUACUGACGGCUGAGGUGCGAAAGCG